rnacentral:rRNA from 1 species
AUUGAACGCUGGCGGCAGGCCUAACACAUGCAAGUCGAACGAGUGGCGGACGGGAGAGUAAUGUCUGGGAAACUGCCUGAUGGAGGGGGAUAACUACUGGAAACGGUAGCUAAUCCCGCAUACCAUCGGAUGUGCCCAGAUGGGAUACACUAGUAGGUGGGGUAAAGGCUCACCGAGGCGACGAUCCCUAGCUGGUCUGAGAGGGUGACCAGCCACACUGGAACUGAGACACGGUCCAGACUCCUACGUGAGGCAGCAGUGGGGAAUAUUGCUCAAUGGGCGCAAGCCUGAUGCAGCCAUGCCGCGUGUGUGAAGAAGGCCUUCGGGUUGUAAAGUGCUUUCAGCGGGGAGGCGGUACCCGCAGAAGAAGCACCGGCUAACUCCGUGCCAGCAGCCGCGGUAAUUC